rnacentral:rRNA from 1 species
AUUGAACGCUGGCGGCAGGCCUAACACAUGCAAGUCGAGCGACCGGCGGACGGGUGCGGCAUGUACGGGGACCUGCUCGUUUGAGGGGGAUUCCUACUGGAAACGGUGACUACUACCGCAUCCUGUUGGAUGUACCUAUAUGGGAUUAGCUAGUAGGUUAGGGAACGGCUUACCUAGGCGACGAUCCCUAGCUGGUCUGAGAGGAUGAUCAGCCACACUGGAACUGAGACACGGCCCAGACUCCUACGGGAGGCAGCAGUGGGGAAUAUUGCACAAUGGGCGCAAGCCUGAUGCAGCCAUGCCGCGUGUAUGAAGAAGGCCCUAGGGUUGUAAAGUACUUUCAGUCGGGAGGCGUUACCGACAGAAAAAGCACCGGCUAACUCCGUGCCAGCAGCCGCGGUAAUUC